UGGGGAAUAUUGCACAAUGGAGAGAACUCUGAUGCAGCAACGCCGCGUGCGGGAUGACGGCCUUCGGGUUGUAAACCGCUUUCAGCCAUGACGAAGCUUUUGUGACGGUAGUGGUAGAAGAAGCACCGGCUAACUACGUGCCAGCAGCCGCGGUGAUACGUAGGGUGCGAGCGUUGUCCGGAAUCAUUGGGCGUAAAGAGCUUGUAGGCGGUUUGUCGCGUCGAUAGUGUAAACACGCAGCUUAACUGUGUGCCUGCUGUCGAUACGGGCUGACUAGAGGAGGGUAGGGGAGAAUGGAAUUCCCGGUGGAGCGGUGGAAUGCGCAGAUAUCGGGAGGAACACCAGUGGCGAAGGCGGUUCUCUGGACCUUUCCUGACGCUGAGAAGCGAAAGCGUGGGUAGCAAACAGG
rnacentral:rRNA from 1 species